UACGUAGGGCGCGAGCGUUGUCCGGAAUUACUGGGCGUAAAGAGCUCGUAGGUGGUUUGUCACGUCGUCUGUGAAAUUCCGGGGCUUAACCUCGGGCGUGCAGGCGAUACGGGCAAUACUUGAGUGCUGUAGGGGAAACUGGAAUUCCUGGUGUAGCGGUGAAAUGCGCAGAUAUCAGGAGGAACACCGAUGGCGAAGGCAGGUCUCUGGGCCACUACUGACGCUGAGAAGCGAAAGCAUGGGGAGCGAACAGGAUUAGAUACCCCU
rnacentral:rRNA from 1 species